UACGUAGGGGGCGAGCGUUGUCCGGAGUUACUGGGCGUAAAGCGCACGCAGGCGGUCUGCUAAGUUUGGAGUGUCAGUUGGUGGCUUAACUGCCAAAGUGCUUCGAAAACUGACAGACUUGAGGGCUUCAGAGGGACACGGAAUUCCGGGUGGAGUGGUGAAAUGCGUAGAGAUCCGGAGGAACACCAAAGGCGAAGGCAGUGUCCUGGGGAGUACCUGACGCUCAGGUGCGAAAGCCAGGGGAGCGAACGGG
rnacentral:rRNA from 1 species